GAUGAACGCUAGCUACAGGCUUAACACAUGCAAGUCGCGGGGUAACAUCUGGUAGAGCUUGCUCUUCCAGGAUGACGACCGGCGCACGGGUGAGUAACGCGUAUCCAACCUGGCCCAUACCACGGGAUAGCCCGUCGAAAGGCGGAUUAAUACCGUAUGCUGUCAUUAAGAUGCAUAUAUUGAUGACGAAAGGACUGGCGGUAUGGGAUGGGGAUGCGUCUGAUUAGCUUGUUGGCGGGGUAACGGCCCACCAAGGCGACGAUCAGUAGGGGUUCUGAGAGGAAGGUCCCCCACACUGGUACUGAGACACGGACCAGACUCCUACGGGAGGCAGCAGUGAGGAAUAUUGGUCAAUGGGCGAGAGCCUGAACCAGCCAAGUAGCGUGCAGGACGACGGCCCUAUGGGUUGUAAACUGCUUUUAUAAGGGAAUAAAGUGGGUCUCGUGAGACUUUUUGCAUGUACCUUAUGAAUAAGGACCGGCUAAUUCCGUGCCAG
rnacentral:rRNA from 1 species